AGGCAGCAGUGGGGAAUAUUGGACAAUGGGGGAAACCCUGAUCCAGCGACGCCGCGUGAGUGAAGAAGUAUUUCGGGUCGUAAAGCUCUGUCCUCAAGGAAGAUAAUGACGGUACUUGAGGAGGAAGCCCCGGCUAACUACGUGCCAGCAGCCGCGGUAAUACG
rnacentral:rRNA from 1 species